rnacentral:misc_RNA from 1 species
GCAAACUUGGUCAUUUAGAGGAAGUAAAAGUCGUAACAAGGUCUCCGUUGGUGAACCAGCGGAGGGAUCAUUACAGAGUUGUAAAACUCCCAACCCAUGUGAACAUACCUCUGUUGCCUCGGCGGCCUACCCGGUAGCUACCCUGUAGUUACCCUGUAGUCCGCCGGCGGAAUACAACAAAACUCUUGUUUAUUAUAUUAUCUCUGAGAAAAACUUUAAUAAGUCAAAACUUUCAACAACGGAUCUCUUGGUUCUGGCAUCGAUGAAGAACGCAGC